UGGAAGUAAAAGUCGUAACAAGGUUUCCGUAGGUGAACCUUCGGAAGGAUCAUUACCGUAACGCGGCGGUCCAGUAGCCCAAAAAACUGCUGGCCGCCACACGCGUUUAUCACCCUUGAAUUUGAGCACCUUCUGUUUCCUCGGCGGGUUCGCCCGCCAACGAGGACCCCUUGAACUCUUUGUAGUAGCAGUAUUUGUCUGAAAACAAAGUUAAUUAAUUAAAACUUUCAACAAUGGAUCUCUUGGUUCUGGCAUCGAUGAAGAACGCAGCGAAAUGCGAUAAGUAGUGUGAAUUGCAGAAUUCAGUGAAUCAUCGAAUCUUUGAACGCACAUUGCGCCCCUCGGUAUUCCGUGGGGCAUGCCUGUUCGAGCGUCAUUUAAACCUUCAAGCUCAGCUUGGUAUUGGGUGCUUGUCCCGCCUCUGCGCGGCGACUCACCUCAAAGUCAUUGGCAGCCCGCAUCCGCCGGCCGUGAGCGCAGCACAGUCGCACUCUAGGUAUUUGGCAGGUCGGCUCUCCAGAAGCACUUCUUUUAUCAUUGACCUCGGAUCAGGUAGGGAUACCCGCUGAACUUAAGCAUAUCAAUAA
rnacentral:misc_RNA from 1 species